rnacentral:lncRNA from 10 species
GGGAGGAAAGCCGUCUGCCAAAGCCUGAAGCCUCCAAGCCAUAAACAACCCCAAUGGCCUCCCACGAAGUUGAUAAUGCAGAGCUGGGGUCAGCCUCUGCCCAUGGUACCCCAGGCAGUGAGGCGGGACCAGAAGAGCUGAAUACUUCUGUCUACCAGCCCAUAGAUGGAUCACCAGAUUAUCAGAAAGCAAAAUUACAAGUUCUUGGGUCUAUUCAACGUGAAGAGGAUGAGGAUGAAGACCUUUAUGAUAAUCUACUUCCACUUAAUGAAUAUUCUGUAGUUCAGGAACCUUGUCUGUUGUAGCAGGGAUAAAACCCACAAGAACAUGGAUACAGAACAGUUUUGGAAUGAACAUUGCCAGUGCUACAAUUGCACUAGUGGGGACUGCUUUUCUCUCACUAAAUAUAGCAGUUAAUAUCCAGUCAUUAAGGAGUUGUCACUCUUCAUCAGAGUCACCGGACCUAUGCAAUUACAUGGGCUCCAUAUCAAAUGGCAUGGUGUCUCUACUGCUGAUUCUCACCUUGCUGGAAUUAUGCGUAACCAUCUCUACCAUAGCCAUGUGGUGCAAUGCAAACUGCUGUAAUUCAAGAGAGGAAAUUUCCUCACCUCCCAAUUCUGUGUAAUCAAGAAUACCUCCUUAAUUCUGAGAGCAUGAAUAUUUGACCUUAAAUCUCCAGUGACUCAGAGCUUCACCCACAAACUCAGGAGAACAUAAGCCUGCUCGUAAAGCUCAAUCCUUCUAUC